rnacentral:rRNA from 1 species
GAUGAACGCUAGCGGCAGGCUUAAUACAUGCAAGUCGAGGGGCAGCAGGGGUAGCAAUACCCGCUGGCGACCGGCAAACGGGUGCGGAACACGUACGCAACCUUCCCAGAACAGGUGAAUAGCCCUGCGAAAGUAGGAUUAAUACACCGUAAGAUAUAGUGUAGGCAUCUAUGUUAUAUUAAAGGUCGCAAGAUCGGUUUUGGAUGGGCGUGCGCCUGAUUAGGUAGNGGUGUGGGUAACGGCCCACCAAGCCUUCGAUCAGUAACUGGUGUGAGAGCACGACCAGUCACACGGGCACUGAGACACGGGCCCGACUCCUACGGGAGGCAGCAGUAAGGAAUAUUGGUCAAUGGACGAAAGUCUGAACCAGCCAUGCCGCGUGCAGGAUGAAGGCCCUCUGGGUUGUAAACUGCUUUUAUCUGGGACGAAAAAGGGUUUUUGAACUCACUUGACGGUACCAGAGGAAUAAGCACCGGCUAACUCCGUGCCA